UACGGUCCUAUCACGCUGAAAAACCAGUUCUUGUACGAUCACCGAAGUUAAGCAAAGUCGAGCCUGGUCAGUACUUAGGUUCGUAACCGCUAGAGAAUAUCAGCUGCU